CUGAACUUUUAUCUGGACUUUACUUAGGCAAAAUUUUUGAGGGAACUGGUUGGGUUUACAAUUGAAACUGCGAUAAUCCCAGUAGAUUAUAAAGCGUUACGAUCGGCUGCCUAGUGGGAGCUGUCCGUUCUGGAGGCAAUGAUGAUGAUGAUGGCGACGACUAUCUAAUGACAAUUGGCAUUGGCCAAGCUCAAGUCACACCAAACUCGGUGGCCAACUAGUGUGACACAAUUGCCACAUAUCCAAUGACAAUAUUAGCAGUAGACACAAAAACGGGGGCCAAGAACAAAAGUCGUUAGGAUUUUGAAAUGGAAACCACCAAGUUGUAGUGGUCCAAGAGCAAGAGCAAGAGCAAAUCUCGGACUAGACCUGCAAUCCGUAACUAGAACUCAACUUGGAACUUGAACUGGAUCUGGACCUGCACAUAAUUGGCAAUUGUCUAGUCCGUAAAGACCUCCAAUGCUCCAUCUCCAUUUCCAUUACCAUUACCAUUACCAUUACCGAGCUCUUUGGCCAGCCUCCCAGCCAGCCAGCCAGCGAACAAACUAACUCUAACUCAUCGGCCCAGACUGCGAUUCCGAGAUCACCUGAGAUCACCUGAGAUCACUGGUAACGAGGUCAAGACGCACACACAGCAGGAACCAGGCCACGGCGAGCAACUGGAGCACAUAGCGGGGGACAACUGUGCGGAUCCCUUGAUGCAAAAAUCCCCUGGCGUUCAAGUAAUGGAGGAUUGUGCAAAAAAUAUACCCCAUUGAAUUGGCUAAAGAUACAUGUUAGCUUUUAAUUAGAUUAAUACAAUAACUAUUAAUCAUAGUUUAGCUUUUAAAUACCACGCCUGAACAGGCCUAAAAAACAGGAACAGUUAAUGAGCUAAAGGCAGUAAUCCAAUAUCUGUGGGCUUAACUGUGGCGAAACGCACUGUCUUUGGCACUGAAGAACUCCGCCGGCAGAGGGCAUAAUUGAUAUGCGACACGCACACGGCGAUGGAUCACUCCAAUUUAUGCAUCGAACGACCAGGAAAACAAAUCCAAACUUCGAGUUGGACUCGGUUGGACUUUGUCUUGGUGGACCUGCCUAAAGGAGUGGGAGAUGGAGAUGGAGAUGGGGCGACUUUGAGGCGUUGAUGUCAACGUGCCACCUCCAUAAACAACUCAAUUCGAUCGUGAGUCUGGCCACGUUAUUACGAAUCGGUUCAAUCAACUGCUCCCCACUCUGUGUACUAUGUACCAUAUAUACAUACGUAUGCCACACUCCUUACUUUGCCGCCCGAUCUGUUUUGAUAGCAGGCACGUGAUCUGCAGACGAAACGCUGGCGAACCAAAUCUGAAUGGAGAAUUUAUGAAUGGAGCACUCGGCUCAAGUUGGAGCUCGGUUUUAUAGUUUGGUUCACUCCAGUUCAGCUGGGUUCUACGAUGUGCGUGAGCGUGUAUGCACUGAAACAAAAAAUUUAUAAACGGCUAACUUUCAAUAACCUAGACCUUAAAGUCAUAAGAAGGCAAAAAGCUCAAAAUAAAAGAAAAA